rnacentral:tRNA from 1 species
GGGCGAAUAGCUCAGUUGGUCAGAGCGCACGGUUCACAUCCGUGAGGGCGUGGGUUCAAGUCCCUCUUCGCCCA